ACGAGUUAGGGUCUCUCCAGGCCCGACCUCCCAACCCUUUGUUUACCGAACCUCUGUUGCUUCGGCGGACCCGUCUUACGACCGCCGGGGGACCGCUGACAGGCGUCCUCUAGCCAGUGUCCGUCGAUAGCCAAACAUUUAAAAUCUUAACUAAACGUGUCUUGAAUCUAAGUAUUAUUGUUAAAUAAAAACA
rnacentral:misc_RNA from 1 species